rnacentral:rRNA from 1 species
CGGAGGGUGCAAGCGUUAUCCGGAUUUACUGGGUUUAAAGGGUGCGCAGGCGGAUAUGUAAGUCAGUGGUGAAAUCUCUAGGCUUAACCUGGAAAUUGCCGUUGAUACUAUAUAUCUUGAAUGCUGUGGAGGUAAGCGGAAUAUGUCAUGUAGCGGUGAAAUGCUUAGAUAUGACAUAGAACACCUAUUGCGAAGGCAGCUUACUACACAGAUAUUGACGCUCAUGCACGAAAGCGUGGGGAUCAAACAGGAUUAGAUACCCUGGUAGUCCACGCCCUAAACGAUGAUUACUCGACAUACGCGAUACACAGUGUGUGUCUGAGCGAAAGCAUUAAGUAAUCCACCUGGGAAGUACGAUCGCAAGAUUG